rnacentral:lncRNA from 1 species
AGAAAAAAGAAAAAGAAAAGAAGAAGAACACACGCACAUGACCGACGCGUAUCCGCUGCGAUCGAUGUAUAGCCAUCAAAUUUUAGAAUUUGAUGACACGGUGGUUACAAAAAAGCGGAACUUGUGACUUUCGAGGUAUCGAGGAGGACAGACAGCGACGAAAAAAUCCUCGCUUGGUUGACAGGGCGUAACUGCACUUAGAGAUGAUCCUGGAAAAACGUUGAGUUAUAUGAGUGACAGCGUUCAUCUCGCAGUACAGUUAUGUCCUUAUGUCAGCCAAGCGACGAAAUGUGGGCGAGAUUCGACUGGGAUGCUCGCAUGUUAUGAUGUGAAACAGGUGACAUUUCGCGUCACUCUCUGCCUCAAGAGAAAUUUAGCCCUCGAUACACUCAGUUUCUUGGAGUAAAUGGCAAGUGUCGGAAACUGUUUUAACUUGCCCUUUGUUUUUGAACGGCUUCAAAAUUUUAAAAAAAAAAAAAAAAAAAAAAAAAAAAAAAAAAAGGUUAAACAAUCAUCAGCUGCCCGAUUCCACUUGUUUAAAAGUAAUUAAGUCUACCUCCUCGCGUCGCUAAAGAAACUAGGUCCUACAGGUAUCAAAAAUAGGUACACGUAAAAAAUUAGAUUGCUGAUGUAACAAUUCAAUUGCUAAAAAAAAGGGACUGCAAUGUUUCAACGUAGAUUUUACAACAAAAAAAAUGCUACUUUUACCACCCCCGUGGUUAAAUUAGCUUACAAUAGUGGUUAAAGUAGCAUUUUUUUGUGUGUAAAAUCUAAGUUGAAACAUUGCAGUCACUUUUUUUAGCGAUUUAAUUGUUAAAUCAGCAAUUUAAUUUUUUCCGUGUACAAAAUGGACGUAAUCAAAUCAAGGGUUAAAGCUCACGGAUGUGAGUUUCUCCCUCUCUCUUUCAUUACUUCUACGUCAAAGUAAUGAAUUUAGAAAAGAACAGCAAACUUACAAAGACGAUACAGCGACAAAAGAAAACAAAAAAACACGCAUAAUAACCGAGAGGUGUGCUAAAAGCUCAGUCAGGCCAAGUAGUUGCGCGUGGUGAUAAGGAUUAGUAGUCAUGCCUCAAGUGAAUGACUUCCCAUUUCAUUCUGCGGUGUUUAUUCCGUAUGGACCCCCGUGCUUCUGUCAGGUUCCCAAGCGGUCACUUUGGUCGUAAGUCUUGAAAUAAUCGCAUUAAAAUUAUCUACGAUGGCGAAAAAGCCAGAGCACCUUCAAUUUUUCUGAAUGCAACACGCACAUUCAUUAAGCACGAAUAGUUGUAUCAAGGCGCUAUGGUCAGUGUCGCAUCGGUCACAACAAGUCGUAGGUCGCUUCGGCAGUAAAAAAAUGGGUCUGUGCACAGUUUCAAUUGAAGCCAUUCGUUACAGUUUACUAACAUAAAUUCUGGGGUAAGAUUGUGUUUAGGACUGUUUGGAAGGAACAUUGUGUUGCAUGUGCAACGUGUGAAAUGCUUUCCCUUUAUCCUCCAACGAAAGUUACCAUCAAAUCUUUUAGUGACGAUAAAUAUUAUUAAUACCAGUAUGUAUUUUAAGCUGAUUUUAAAACUUCUUCAAAUUGUAUAUAACAUAUGGUAUCAAUAAACCUACCAUAGAAUAUUAACUUCCAUUAUACUAUUAAUUAUUAUAAAUUGAUUCAUAUAUGAAUUGUUAAACUUUCUACACUCGUCUCAUGAGAAAUCAAUCUAAA